UACGUAGGGGGCAAGCGUUGUCCGGAUUUAUUGGGCGUAAAGAGCGUGUAGGCGGCCAGACAAGUCUGCUGUGAAAACUCGAGGCUCAACCUCGAGCUGUCGGUGGAAACUGUCUGGCUAGAGUCCGGAAGAGGUAAGUGGAAUUGCGAGUGUAGAGGUGAAAUUCGUAGAUAUUCGCAGGAACACCAGUGGCGAAGGCGGCUUACUGGUCCAUAACUGACGCUGAGGUGCGAAAGCGUGGGGAGCAAACAGG
rnacentral:rRNA from 1 species